rnacentral:rRNA from 1 species
ACUCCUGCUCAAUGUACAAUAAAUAGCCGCAGUCAACUGUGCUAAGGUAGCAUAAUCACUUGUUUCCUAAUUAGAAAAUAGUAUGAAUGGAAUAACGGACUAAAAUUGUUUCUAUUUACCAAAACUAAAUUGAUCUUUGUGUUAAAAAUCACAAAUACCCUAACAAGACGACAAGACCCUGAUAAACUUAAACAUUUAGUUGGGGCGACAAAAUAAAAAUACCUUAUUAUUAUUAGAUAACUGUAACCUUAACAAAAGAACUAGACCAGUUACUACAGGGAUAACAGCGUUAUUUUUCUCUAGAGCCCUCAUCAAAAGAAAAGAUUACGACCUCGAUGUUGAAUUAAUUAGUCUUAAUAAAGCAAAAAUUAUUAAAGAAAGUCUGUUCGACUUAUAAAUAAUU